GAUUAGANNCCUGGUAGUCCCGCCGUAAACGAUGUCAACUAGCCGUUGGGAGCCUUGAGCUCUUAGUGGCGCAGCUAACGCAUUAAGUUGACCGCCUGGGGAGUACGGCCGCAAGGUUAAAACUCAAAUGAAUUGACGGGGGCCCGCACAAGCGGUGGAGCAUGUGGUUUAAUUCGAAGCAACGCGAAGAACCUUACCAGGCCUUGACAUCCAAUGAACUUUCUAGAGAUAGAUUGGUGCCUUCGGGAACAUUGAGACAGGUGCUGCAUGGCU
rnacentral:rRNA from 1 species